GACGAACGCUGGCGGCGUGCUUAACACAUGCAAGUCGUACGGUAAGGCCCUUUCGGGGGUACACGAGUGGCUAACGGGUGAGUAACACGUGAGUAACCUGCCCACCACUUCGGGAUAACGCUAGGAAACUGGUGCUAAUACUGGAUAUGUGCUCCUGCUGUAUGGUCGGGGUUGGAAAGCUCCGGCGGUUGUGGAUGGACUCGCGGCCUAUCAGCUUGUUGGUGGGGUAGUGGCCUACCAAGGCGGCGACGGGUAGCCGGCCUGAGAGGGUGACCGGCCACAAUGGGACUGAGAUACGGCCUAGUCUCCUACGGGAGGCAGCAGUGGGGAAUAUUGCACAAUGGGCGCAAGCCUGAUGCAACAACGCCGCGGUCGGGAUGACGUCCUUCGGGUUGUGAACCGCUUUCAGCAGAGACGAAGCAUUUUGUGACGGUACCUGCAGAAGAAGCACCGGCUAACUACGUG
rnacentral:rRNA from 1 species